rnacentral:misc_RNA from 1 species
CGACCUCGUUCCCCAGGAGUAGUUUGAACCUCUCGAGGAUAUGACUGCCAAGAUUUGUCAUGACAACCCAGAACCUCUAAUAGAAUCCAACUACAGAUGACAGAACACCUUCAGGAGGAAACAAAGGCUUAAAACACGGGUGGAUCGGCGUGGCGACUCCCUCAGGGCAACCGGCCUAGCCAUGAGAAGUGACGUCAUGUGGUGUUUCCGAUUUUAGUGACACAGGCGCUGGAUGACUUAAACGUAUUAUGAGACCAAGAACGAAUUGGGCGUGUGUGUGGGCGGUGGUCGUGACAUGGGCGUUCGCAUCUCAGUUAAAUGGAGAGGCCGCCGAGGAUGUGCUCUUCCGCUCCCCGGAAGCCACGGACGAGUUGCCGGUCACACUGCGGAUGGAGGACCCGAAGACUGGCCUCACGAAGUCGAUGGUUUUGCAUGUGAAGCGCGCCAUGCUUGAGCGCUAUCACGUGACGAAGGAGGAGAUCGAGAAGGGCACGGUGGUCUUUGACGAAGAAGGGGCGGCGAAGAAGCUCAUGGUGAAGGGCAUCGCCUUCGAGAUCCCGGCCGCCGAGGAGCGCAUGGACGCGGUCGUCUUCCACUCCAGGCCGGACGAGGAGCCGUUCCUCCUCGACCUCAGAGAAGUGGGCGGCCUCACCAUCGCCUCGUUUGAAGACGACCCUACGUUGGUCCCGGAGCCUCCCGAAGCCAUCGACUGGUCCGUGCCUGGCCGACGCCCUCUCACCUCCCUGGCCCUUAGCAUCUCCGCCCGCGCCGUGGUGGUCGCCGCCAACCGAGCGACGGAGGUCUCGAACAGGACGGCCGCAACUGGAGUGACGGAGCAGCUGUGGCUGGCCGGAGCGGGCCUGCACCUGCUGGUUCUGAAUCCUUGCACGGCCGAGGUCACCCUGGAUAAGGUGUUCCCUACAGGCGAACCCGGCGCUUAUCGGGACCUCACCUGGACGCUGGCCAACAUCCAGGGCAACAGGAUCGUCGUUGUUGCUUCUGUCCACGACGGAUCGCUCCAGCUGUUGUCCUCGGCGCGGGAACGCCUUGAAACCCUCGGCUCUGAGUGGGUCAGGUACUACUCCUUCAGAGACUCCUGGGCUUGGGUCUUCAUCAUGGGGGGCGCGACUCUCGGGAGUGGCUUCGCGCCCAACACCGGCACCAUCGACACGUCAGCGUCUCCCUUGCUAAUGGAAGUGGGCGUCCCUCGGGGUCCUUCGCGUGACAGGACGGAGGGAGAAAGCGCGGGAAAGAAAGCCGGCCAUGAAGAAAUUAAAGACGACAAAACAGAUAACGGCUCGCACGCGGAAGGCAAGACAGACGAAGACUUAGCCGACGGGCAGAAGGAAGAUAAGAUGCCUUCCGAUGUUCCAGUAACGGUGUCCGAAUACCUGACGCAACGGCAGGCAAGGAUCACCAAGAAGAAACCAGAAGCAGAAGAUAGCGACGUGAGAGAGACAGCGAUCGGCGAGGCAGCGGCAGAGGAGAGCUGUACAGACCACGUGGCGCGAAGAUAUACCAAUCCUCGUUAUCACCGGCGGAAGAAUACACUAUCUGUUCAGGUUGCUGCAGUCCCUGGGGAAGCAGCCAGGCGUCCGACGAGACCUCAUAUUGUUGGUCACAGAUGGAUACAAUACAGAGGUGGCCAAGAUAGCACACAUUCUGCGCCUCACACUCCUAGUUCACAGACCCGAAGGCGUAAUUCCUACCAGAAUUUCCAGGAAUGUCCGUUUCGGUCUCUUUAACAUCAUCAAGAAGUUCCCAAAAGCAGACAAGUUCAUUGUGUUGGAAGACGAUCUAAUUCUCUCUCCGGAUUUUUACUCAUACAUGCAGCAGACCAGCUGGAUUCUCGAAAACGACCCUUCGGUGUACUGUGUCUCCGCCUUCAACCACCUCUCCUACACCCACACGGCCUUACAACGCGACCCAGAUCUAUCGCGCCCACUCCUACCCUGCGUAUGGC